AAUACUUCAGAAAAUCUCAUAGAAACAUAGCAUUCCUUCAGAAUUUCUUACAGAAGCGUCUUCGUCUCUCAGAAUUUCCCACAAAGGAUGCAGAUUCGAAUACCUAUCAUCACAGGCACACCAAUGUGAAAAUAUCCUGUGGGAUAAUUCAGGGUCUGGCCUUGUGAUCUCUAUGAGAAAACAGCGUGAUUCAGAAACAGCGUUUAUUCCAACUGCCAGCAAGUUCGUUAGUCUGCUUUGAAACGUUGAAGCGCAUGGACGCAGCUACGCAUCUCAUGCAAAUAUCGCCAGGAAUUCAGGAUUUUCGUCGCUUUUGAGGUAUAUAGCACGUGUGUGUGUGUGGUAUAUAAUCGUCCGUACUACGCAUUCUCAUUCUUUAUGCGUCUUUACCCCUGUUCGCACGUAUUCUGAGGAAUGGAAGGUAGAAUUCAGUGAGAUGGUUAUAGCAACUGUGCUUUGGGCAAACGGUUAAACUCGGAAGAAGCGGCAGCGAGCGGAAAUUAAUUGGAUUCGUACGUGGUCGUAACCCAUUCUCGUCUCGAGAAAGUUGGAUGAUGCUUUUACGGAAGAAAGCCUACGCGUUCCCAAUGUGCGAAACAAAAAGUUGUCAUAAUCACAUGAAGAAAUUUCUUGGUCGUCGCAUUGGACAUUUCAAUGGCGGCAUGCGACUUACUCUCAAUACUUCUCAGCAAGUAAGUAUGGGAUCCUUCAAUUAUCAUACGUGGCAGUGCAACUUU